rnacentral:rRNA from 1 species
GAUGAACGCUGGCGGCGUGCCUAAUACAUGCAAGUCGAGCGAACAGACGAGGAGCUUGCUCCUCUGAUGUUAGCGGCGGACGGGUGAGUAACACGUGGAUAACCUACCUAUAAGACUGGGAUAACUUCGGGAAACCGGAGCUAAUACCGGAUAACAUGUUGAACCGCAUGGUUCAACAGUGAAAGACGGUCUUGCUGUCACUUAUAGAUGGAUCCGCGCCGCAUUAGCUAGUUGGUAAGGUAACGGGUUACCAAGGCAACGAUGCGUAGCCGACCUGAGAGGGUGAUCGGCCACACUGGAACUGAGACACGGUCCAGACUCCUACGGGAGGCAGCAGUAGGGAAUCUUCCGCAAUGGGCGAAAGCCUGACGGAGCAACGCCGCGUGAGUGAAGAAGGUCUUCGGAUCGUAAAACUCUGUUAUUAGGGAAGAACAAAUGUGUAAGUAACUAUGCACGUCUUGACGGUACCUAAUCAGAAAGCCACGGCUAACUACGUG